rnacentral:lncRNA from 1 species
CGAGGAGGUUGCUGGGCACGUCCCCGCGAACGAUGCGCUGGGCGAGGCCCUCGACGACGGCGGUCUUGCCGACGCCGGGGUCGCCGAUGAGGACGGGGUUGUUCUUGGUGCGCCGGGAGAGGAUGCGGACCACGCGCCGGAUCUCCUCGUCGCGGCCGAUGACGGGGUCCAGCUUGCCGGCGACCUCCACGAGGUCGCGGCCGUAGGUCUUGAGGGCCUCGAAGUUGGAGUCCCCGGAGGCGCUCUCCACGCGGC